rnacentral:lncRNA from 1 species
AUACAAAAAUUAGCUGGCCUUGGUGGCACAUGCCUGUAAUCCCAGCUACUCAGGAGGCUGAGGCACGAGAAUAGCUUGAACCUGAGAGGCGGAGGUUGCAGUGAGCCAAGAUCACACCACUGCACUUCAGCCUAGGUGACAGAGUGAGACUCUGUCUCAAAAAUAAAAUAAAAUAAGAAAAUAAAGGAGUGUCAUUGGCUUGUUUGUAACAUGAAGGAUAAAAGCUUGAGGGGAGCUGGAUACCCCAUCUUCCAUGAUGUGAUCAUUACAAAUUGCAAGCCUGUGUCAAAACAUCUCAUGUACCCCAUAAAUAUAUAUACACCUACUAUCUACCCACAAAUAAUUAAAACUUUUAAAAAAAGAAGAGCUGAAAAAGGGAAGUCAAGUGUAUGGAGAGAAAGAAGGCCUCCUGGACUAGGUGAAAUGUAAAAAGCCUACAUCUUAGUUUGCUUGGGCUGCAGUAACAAAAUACCACAGAUGGGCAGCUUCAACAACACAAACGCAUUUUCUUGCAAUGAUGUUGGAGGCUGGAAGUCCAAGGUCAAGGUGUCGGCAGGGCUGGUUCUUCUGAGACCUCUCUCCUUGGCUUGGAGAUGCCAUCCCCUCCCUGUGUCCUCACAUGGUUUAUCUCUAUGCAUGUCUGUGUCUUCAUCUCCCCUUUUAGAAGGACACCAGUCCUACUGGAUUCACUUAAUGACCUCACUUUAACUUCAUCAUCUCUUUAAAGACCCUCUCUCCAAAUAGAGUCCCAUUCUGAGAUGCUGUGGGUUAGGACUUCAACCUAUAAAUUUUGGGAGGGACACAAAUAGCCUAUAAGGCAAUUAGUUGUUACCCAGGUGACUGAUCCUGAAAAGAAUGUUGUAUUAGUCCAUUUUCACGCUGCUGUUAUAUACCCAAGACUAGGUAAUUUAUAAACGAAAAAAGGUUUUAUGAACUCACAGUUCCAUGUGACUGGGGGGAACUCACAACCAUGGCCGAAGGUGAAAGUCACGUCUUACAUGGUGGCAGGCAAGAGAGAAUGAGAGCCAAGCAAAAGGGGAAACCUCUUAUAAAACCAUCCGAUCUUGGCUGGGCACGGUGGCUCAUGCCUGUAAUCCCAGCACUUUGGGAGGCUGAGGCGGGCAGAUCACCUAAGGUCAGGAGUUUGAGGCAAGCCUGGCCAACAUGGUGAAGCCCCAUCUGUACUAAAAAUAUGAAAAUUAUCCAGGCAUGGUGGCAGGCACCUGUAAUUGCAGCUACUUGGCAGGCUGAGACAGGAGAAUCACUUGAACCUGGGAGGCGGAGGUUGCAGUGAGCAGAGAUCGCAGCAUUGCACUCCAGCCUGGGCAACAAGAGUGAAACUCCAUCUCAAGAUAAAAAAUAAAAAUAAAAAAUAAAAA